AAGCCCAAUGGUUUCCAGAGAUUGCCAGAAAAUAGCCUCAAAGUUGACUGGUCUCAGUGAAAACUUGAAAACUCGCCAAAAUUUGGGUAAACUUUAAACGUUCAUAACUUCUUCAAUACUCAACGAAAUCAAGUAAUUCAAAACUACAAUCAUACUUCUCGACAAGAGAAAGAGAAUGAUACAUUUUUUUGAUGGAUAAAGCACCAUUGUUUGGCCGGAAAAUGGCUCAAAAGUGGCUAUCUU
rnacentral:lncRNA from 1 species